GUUUGCGACGGGAAGCGCUUCUCUAGGCAGCUCGGUGAAGGGCUCUACUGUCCGUCCCCGGGUGUCCCGGGGUGUCUCCUCUCUGUCUCGGAAAGGGGAACAGACUUCUGUCUUCAUUGAACACGCAGGGACACUGAAGUCACACAGUACUGGAUCACCCUGUUCCAUGUCAUGGGGAACCCUACAGCGAUCUACUCUGCCUCCAGAACAAAUGCCAUGCCCCAACACCUGAAAGGAUCAGCCUAGUCCUUGGGGAUAAAAGGCAAGAUCAUCUCCUUCUUAGAAGGAUUUCAGACCUUGGAGACUGGAAUCAAGGACAUGGUUCACAACUACACGCACCCUUCUAGAAUGCAGUGGCUUCGGUUUCUGACCAGGGACACAGAAUACCAUUGGAAUUUGAGAGGUUCCACAGCCGUUGUGCCAUGGGCAGCCUCUGGAGACUGUGGUUCAGCUCAUCUGUCUUGUCCCUGCUGGAGCUGCUACUGGAUGUCAUUGCCCUUGCCUGGCUGCUACUGGGUUUUUGCUGGCUCGGCUGGGGAGAAGCUGUCCUAGCUGGGAGUCAAUACUGCUUCAGGGCAGUCCCACACCAUAUCAGAGGCCAGCCAGAGACCUCCACCCCAAGCUUCAGGGGAUGAUGCCAGACGCCCAGAAGGAGAUAACCCCACAGAGAUGCUCUCAGGGUCUUUGGGGGAAGUUUCAGUGUAAGAAUUCGGCUAAAUUCCAGGCCCUUGAGUUUUUGUUUGUUUUUCGAGAGACGGUUUCUCUGUAGCCCUGGCUGUCCUGAUACUUGUUCCUCUGUAUAGACCAAGCUGGCCUCGAACCCUAGAUCCACCUGCCUCUGCCUCCCAAGUGCUAGGAUUAAAGGAAUGUGCCACCGCUGCCUAACUAUUUGAUUUUUGAGACAGAGUUUCUCUGUGUAG